GAUUAAAGUAGUUUAAGAAAAGCAUCAGCCUGUGGCACUGAAGACGCCAGUUAAACUCUGGCCUUAAAUCC
rnacentral:tRNA from 2 species